rnacentral:rRNA from 1 species
UACAGAGGGUGCGAGCGUUAAUCGGAAUUACUGGGCGUAAAGCGUGCGUAGGCGGUUAUUUAAGUCAGGUGUGAAAGCCCCGGGCUCAACCUGGGAAUUGCAUUUGAGACUGAAUAGCUAGGGUGCGGAAGAGGGAAGCGGAAUUUCCGGUGUAGCGGUGAAAUGCGUAGAUAUCGGAAGGAACACCAGUGGCGAAAGCGGCUUCCUGGUCCAGCACCGACGUUCAGGCACGAAAGCGUGGGGAGCAAACAGG